rnacentral:rRNA from 1 species
UACAGAGGUCUCAAGCGUUGUUCGGAUUCACUGGGCGUAAAGGGUGCGUAGGUGGUCGGGUAAGUCUGAUGUGAAAUCUCUGGGCUCAACCCAGAAAUGGCAUUGGAUACUAUUCGGCUAGAGGAGUGGAGGGGGGACUGGAAUACUUGGUGUAGCAGUGAAAUGCGUAGAUAUCAAGUGGAACACCAGUGGCGAAGGCGAGUCCCUGGACACUUCCUGACACUGAGGCACGAAAGCUAGGGGAGCAAACAGG